UGACGGUACCUGACUAAGAAGCCCCGGCUAACUACGUGCCAGCAGCCGCGGUAAUACGUAGGUGGCGAGCGUUAUCCGGAAUGAUUGGGCGUAAAGGGUGCGUAGGUGGCAGAACAAGUCUGGAGUAAAAGGUAUGGGCUCAACCCGUACUGGCUCUGGAAACUGUUCAGCUAGAGAACAGAAGAGGACGGCGGAACUCCAUGUGUAGCGGUAAAAUGCGUAGAUAUAUGGAAGAACACCGGUGGCGAAGGCGGCCGUCUGGUCUGUUGCUGACACUGAAGCACGAAAGCGUGGGGAGCAAAUAGGAUUAGAUACCCUAGUAGUCCACGCCGUAAACGCUGAAAAGUAGGUGUUGGGGGAAUAACUCAGUGCCGCAGUUAACGCAAUAAGUUCUCCGCCUGGGGAAGUAUGCACGCAAGUGUGAAACUCAAAGGAAUUGACGGGGGCCCGCACAAGCGGUGGAGUAUGUGGUUUAAUUCGAAGCAACGCGAAGAACCUUACCAGGCCUUGACAUCCCUUGCAGAGGUAUAGAGAUAUAUCCGAGGUUACCAAGGAGACAGGUGGUGCAUGGUUGUCGUCAGCUCGUGUCGUGAGAUGUUGGGUUAAGUCCCGCAACGAGCGCAACCCUUGUGAUAUGUUACUAACAUUGAGUUGAGGACUCAUAUCAGACUGCCGGUGAUAAACCGGAGGAAGGUGGGGAUGACGUCAAAUCAUCAUGCCCCUUAUGGCCUGGGCUACACACGUACUACAAUGGCGUCUACAAAGAGCGGCAAGCCUGUGAAGGCAAGCGAAUCUCAUAAAGGACGUCUCAGUUCGGAUUGAAGUCUGCAACCCGACUUCAUGAAGCUGGAAUCGCUAGUAAUCGCGAAUCAGCAUGUCGCGGUGAAUACGUUCUCGGGCCUUGCACUCACCGCCCGUCAA
rnacentral:rRNA from 1 species